rnacentral:lncRNA from 1 species
AUAUGGGUACUACAGAGUCAAAUAAAGUAUUGCAGCCACCGACUGCCUAAAAGGGAGUUGCCUUUUUACAGAGAGACCUUUAUUAAAAUUACGGCAAGGGCCAGAAAGUUUUUUCUUGCGUCAUAGCACCGUUGGGCGCUGGAGGUGCCCCGCAAUCCAUGGACUUCUAAUUUCCGUUCAUUGUUAGAUUCAGUACUCUGCAGUAACGUCUCAAAAAAAAUCCAAGAAGCAUGACCCCAUCCUUGCACAAGAUGACGCCGAAAUGGCAUGUAGUACCAGCCUUGGAGUGCGGGCCGAGGAACUUCACUGUGGACUGAGGGUUGUGUAAUAGUUUCAGGCACGAAAUCAUUUUAGAAGCGUGGGAUGAAUUCCUACAGAACCGUCCCCUCCUUCUGUAUUUUAUCGAAGAACUCGCAAGGCUUCUCAGGUUGCAGCUCGAUUCCUAUGAAGCUAUUUUUGCUCUUUGCCCGAGCCCAUUGGUCUUGACACAGCAUCGCUAGAGUCACCCGCUCCGCUCCUGGACAAAAGACCUUUGAGAGCGAAUUCUGCAGAGAGAGUCUCUCUGAAAACACACCUCAGAAUUGUCCAGUUCUGUCCCAGACACACGACAACACUGGAGCAGAGGUCAGGACGUCUCCAGGUGUUCCUGGGCUUUGGGUGAUCAUUUCAGCUUUCCAAAGUAUCCUUCCUGAUCCGAUGCCACAAUUCUCUGGGGCCAAAAUGCAAAAUGAAGUCACCACGAAGCUGCCGUUGACUCACCACGGGACCCUGGUUUCCAGGUCGGUGUCACUUCCAGUUCCAAACUGGACUAUUUUCCAUCAGGGGGUGUAAACGGCCCUUAGGUCUCAGCUUCCUCCCCUCCCCCACCAGAUGU